CCUACGGGGGGCAGCAGUGGGGAAUAUUGGACAAUGGGGGCAACCCUGAUCCAGCCAUGCCGCGUGUGUGAAGAAGGCCCUCGGGUUGUAAAGCACUUUCAGUGAGGAAGAACGCCUGGUGGUGAAUACCCAUCAGGAAAGACAUCACUCACAGAAGAAGCACCGGCUAACUCCGUGCCAGCAGCCGCGGUAAUACGGAGGGUGCGAGCGUUAAUCGGAAUUACUGGGCGUAAAGCGCGCGUAGGUGGCUUGAUAAGCCGGUUGUGAAAGCCCCGGGCUCAACCUGGGAACGGCAUCCGGAACUGUCAAGCUAGAGUGCAGGAGAGGAAGGUAGAAUUCCCGGUGUAGCGGUGAAAUGCGUAGAGAUCGGGAGGAAUACCAGUGGCGAAGGCGGCCUUCUGGACUGACACUGACACUGAGGUGCGAAAGCGUGGGUAGCAAACAGGAUUAGAUACCCGUGUAGUC
rnacentral:rRNA from 1 species